rnacentral:rRNA from 1 species
GCACAACGCGAAGAACCUUACCUACUCUUGACAUCCAGAGAACUUAGCAGAGAUGCUUUGGUGCCUUCGGGAACUCUGAGACAGGUGCUGCAUGGCUGUCGUCAGCUCGUGUUGUGAAAAUGUUGGGUUAAGUCCCGCAACGAGCGCAACCCUUAUCCUUUGUUGCCAGCGGUUCGGCCGGGAACUCAAAGGAGACUGCCAGUGAUAAACUGGAGGAAGGUGGGAUGACGUCAAGUCAUCAUGGCCCUUACGACGUAGGGCUACGACACGUGCUACAAUGGCGUAUACAAAGAGAAGCGACCUCGCGAGAGCAAGCGGACCUCAUAAAGUACGUCGUAGUCCGGAUUGGAGUCUGCAACUCGACUCCAUGAAGUCGGAAUCGCUAGUAAUCGUAGAUCAGAAUGCUACGGUGAAUACGUUACCCGGGUCUUGUACUACACCG